rnacentral:rRNA from 1 species
GCGUAGGUGGGUUGGUAAGUCAGUGGUGAAAUCUCCGAGCUUAACUUGGAAACUGCCAUUGAUACUAUCAGUCUUGAAUAUUGUGGAGGUCAGCGGAAUAUGUCAUGUAGCGGUGAAAUGCUUAGAUAUGACAUAGAACACCAAUUGCGAAGGCAGCUGGCUACGCAUAUAUUGACACUGAGGCACGAAAGCGUGGGGAUCAAACAGGAUUAGAUACCCUGGUAGUCCACGCCCUAAACUAUGGAUACUCGACAUACGCGAUACACUGUGUGUGUCUGAGCGAAAGCAUUAAGUAUCCCACCUGGGAAGUACGAUCGCAAGAUUGAAACUCAAAGGAAUUGG